rnacentral:lncRNA from 1 species
AAUUAAGCAUAUACAGUUCUACAAUAUACUACUCUAAAGAGCGUUAACCAUAAGAAACAAACAUGAAUCAGCAAAUGAAGCAAAAUGCAAAAUGAGACUUUUUCGUCUCUUUACUCUAAUAUUAAUAUUAAUGAACCAGUAGGCACAAUCAACAAGAGAAAGCGCCAAUUUCAACCAACCAGCAAAAGCUACUUUUAAAGUAUUGUAUGGGGUAAAAUCCGGCUCGCCCCACUUCCGUCUAAGCAGACACGCCCCUCACGACAAAGCCGUCCUCAGAUCGUGUCGCCUCAGGCAAGGACGGCCCGAGCAAGGACGUCUCAGUCA